ACACCUCAACUCUUCAUGGUUCUCCGUGAUGAGCUUGGCCUUUGGGGGUUUGCUGGCCUAUGGUCGGCUCCUCUAAAAUGAAUCAGCUUGCCAGUGUUUGGUGGGCAUCACAGGUGUGAUAACUAUCUACGCUUGUGGUUUUCCACCAGGUAACCUUCAGCAGUGGAGGUUCACUGGAGCUCACAGACGUCUCUCCUCAGUGAGGACGGCCCUUUGAAU
rnacentral:misc_RNA from 1 species